AUACGGAGGGUGCGAGCGUUACUCGGAGUCACUGGGCGUAAAGCGUCCGUAGGCGGUCGGGUAAGUCGGGUGUGAAAGCCCCGGGCUCACCCUGGGAAGUGCACCCGAUACUGCUCGACUCGAGUGCGGGAGAGGAUGGCGGAAUUCCCGGUGUAGCGGUGAAAUGCGUAGAGAUCGGGAGGAACACCAGUGGCGAAGGCGGCCAUCUGGCCCGCAACUGACGCUGAGGGACGAAAGCGUGGGGAGCAAACAGGAUUAGAAACCCUUGUAGUCC
rnacentral:rRNA from 1 species